rnacentral:rRNA from 1 species
CGGGGGGGGCAAGCGUUGUUCGGAAUUACUGGGCGUAAAGGGCGCGUAGGCGGCCUGCUAAGUCGGAUGUGAAAUCCCUCGGCUCAACCGGGGAACUGCAUCCGAUACUGGCGGGCUUGAAUCCGGGAGAGGGAUGUGGAAUUCCAGGUGUAGCGGUGAAAUGCGUAGAUAUCUGGAGGAACACCGGUGGCGAAGGCGGCAUCCUGGACCGGUAUUGACGCUGAGGCGCGAAAGCCAGGGGAGCAAACGGGAUUAGAUACCCCGGUAGUCCUGGCCCUAAACGAUGAGUGCUUGGUGUGGCGGGUAUCGAUCCCUGCCGUGCCGAAGCUAACGCAUUAAGCACUCCGCCUGGGGAGUACGGUCGCAAGGCUG